GCUUAAACGAACUCAAAGAGUUACUAUUGAGGAACAAGUUGCAAAAUUUUUGUAUAUGCUGGGACACAACGUAACUACUCGUGAGGUUAGUAAGAUAUUUGGACGAUCUGGAGAGAGUGUGAGUCGUUAUUUUCAUAAUGUUUUAAGAGCUAUGAUAGAGUUGAAAGAGAUAUUUUUAGUGCAACCCAGUGGAGCACAAAUUCCUCCAGAGAUACUCAACAAUCCAAAGUUUGAUCCAUAUUUCAAGGAUUGUGUUGGAGCAAUAGAUGGAACACAUAUCUGAGUAAAGGUUUCUCCUACUGACGCUCCUAAAUAUCAUGGUAGGAAAGAUCAUCCAACAUAAAAUGUGUUGGCUGCCUGCACAUUUGACUUGAAAUUCACUUAUGUCUUACCUGGGUGGGAAGGUACUGCAUCUGAUUCUUGAAUUUUAAAAAAUGCUUUACAACGACGAUUUCCACUUAAAAUCCCUCAAGGAAAAUAUUAUCUCGCUAAUGGUGGAUACAUGUUAAGAAGUGGAAUAAUUCCACCCUAUAGAGGGGAACGCUACCAUUUGAAUGAGUAUUCAAGAAAUCCACCAAGGACUCAACGUGAGUUGUUUAACCUAAGACACGCGUCACUUCGUAAUGCAAUUGAAAGAGCAUUUGGUGUAUUAAAAAAAGAUUUCCCAUUAUAGCGAGCUCGAUUGAACCGAAUUAUGGUGUUAAAGUACAAAAUCAAAUCAUCCUAGCUUGUUGUAUUUUGCAUAAUUUUUUAAGGGGUACUGACCCAGAAGAUUAUUUCCCUAAAGGGGAAGAAGGUGAUAAUGAAAACACAUCGGUCGACGAUAAUGUGGACGAGGAUGAAGAUGAACAAAGAGGGGAGUGUU